UACGUAGGGGGCGAGCGUUGUCCGGAAUUAUUGGGCGUAAAGAGCUCGUAGGCGGCUUGGCAAGUCGGAUGUGAAAACUCCAGGCUCAACCUGGAGCCGCCAUUCGAUACUGCUAUGGCUAGAGUCCGGUAGGGGAGUGUGGAAUUCCCGGUGUAGCGGUGAAAUGCGCAGAUAUCAGGAGGAACACCGGUGGCGAAGGCGGGUCUCUGGGCCGAUACUGACGCUGAGGAGCGAAAGCAUGGGUAGCGAACAGG
rnacentral:rRNA from 1 species